GAUGAAGAACGCAGCGAAAUGCGAUAAGUAAUGCGAAUUGCAGAAUUUCCGUGAAUCAUCGAAUCUUUGAACGCACAUUGCGCCCGCGAGUAUUCUCGCGGGCAUGCCUGUCCGAGCGUCAUUUCAACCCUCAGGGCCCGCCUGCUUCGGCAGGCGCGGCGCUGGUGUUGGGGAUCGGCCUAACCGCCGUCCCCCAAAUACAGUGGCGGUCUCGCUGCAGCCUCCCCUGCGUAGUAGCAACACUCGCAUGCGGAGCGCGGCGCGGCCACGCCGUAAAACCCCCGACUUUCUGAACGUUGACCUCGGAUCAGGUAGGAAUACCCGCUGAACUUAAGCAUAUCAAUAAGCGGAGGA
rnacentral:misc_RNA from 1 species